rnacentral:rRNA from 1 species
CCUACGGGAGGCAGCAGUAGGGAAUAUUGCUCAAUGGGGGAAACCCUGAAGCAGCAACGCCGCGUGGAGGAUGAAGGUUUUAGGAUUGUAAACUCCUUUUGUUAGAGAAGAUUAUGACGGUAUCUAACGAAUAAGCACCGGCUAACUCCGUGCCAGCAGCCGAGGUAAGACGGAGGGUCCAAGCGUUACUCGGAAUCACUGGGCGUAAAGAGUGCGUAGGCGGGGUAAUAAGUCAGAUGUGAAAUCCUGUGGCUUAAAUACAGAACUGCAUUUGAAACUGUUACUCUGGAGUGUGGGAGAGGUAGGUGGAAUGCUUGGUGUAGGGGUAAAAUCCGUAGAGAUCAAGCGGAAUACUCAUUGCGAAGGCAACAUGCUGGAACAUUACUGACGCUGAUGCACGAAAGCGUGGGUAGCGAACAGGAUUAGAUACCCCAGUAGUC